rnacentral:rRNA from 1 species
GAUGAACGCUGGCGGCGUGCCUAAUACAUGCAAGUCGAGCGAACAGACGAGGAGCUUGCUCCUCUGACGUUAGCGGCGGACGGGUGAGUAACACGUGGAUAACCUACCUAUAAGACUGGGAUAACUUCGGGAAACCGGAGCUAAUACCGGAUAAUAUAUUGAACCGCAUGGUUCAAUAGUGAAAGACGGUUUUGCUGUCACUUAUAGAUGGAUCCGCGCCGCAUUAGCUAGUUGGUAAGGUAACGGCUUACCAAGGCAACGAUGCGUAGCCGACCUGAGAGGGUGAUCGGCCACACUGGAACUGAGACACGGUCCAGACGCCUACGGGAGGCAGCAGUAGGGAAUCGUCCGCAAUGGGCGAAAGCCUGACGGAGCAACGCCGCGUGAGUGAUGAAGGUCUUCGGAUCGUAAAACUCUGUUAUUAGUGAAGAACAAAUGUGUAAGUAACUAUGCACGUCUUGACGGUACCUAAUCAGAAAGCCACGGCUAACUACGUG